UUGGUCGAUCCUGAAGCAUGCCACCGCCACCACCGCGUAGCCCUCUGCCUCCCAAUAUCUUGCUCCUCCGCCAACAUCCGUGAUCGCCGCCGCCGCCUCCAUUGCAGACCUCCAGGUCAUCAUGGGACCACGCCGCCCCCACCUGCGCGGAAUCUGAGGGCAUGGCGCUAGGAACCCAAGCUGCAGGGCGGGCAGCGAGGAGCGACGCAAUAAGGCCCUGCCAGCCGUGAUAUACGCCCGGAACGGGGCGGGCGCACGGAGAGGGGCCGCGGUGCGCCCGAGGGUCGCCGAGGCCUCCGCGCCCGUGGCCGCGGUCGAGGGCCACGGUAGGCAGGAGCCCCCAUCGCGUCCACUGUCGAGAUCCCCAUCACGUGCUGCCAGGUCGCCCGAGGGGCCACAAGGACACGGGAAGUCGACCCCGUGCUCGGUUCCCUCCGCCGCUACAGCCUAUCAUCUUGGCCUAAUUCUGGCGCCCUCCUCGUUUCCGUUUACCCGCUGUCACGCCCUACUCCUACACCCACGCUGUAGUUCCUCUGUGCUUGGCGCUGCAAACUCCCCGCUCAGCGGUCACGAGAUCUCAUUGGAAACAAUUAUACAGGAUAAUAUCUAUGGAGUGGCUUACUCAACCAAGUAUCAUGGUUUUUGGUGAAAAUAUUAAGGGCACGAAGAAAUAAUAUUGAAGUGUUGUAGGUUGAAAAUAUAAUUGACGAAAAACAUACAGGGAAAAAGGUCUUGCUAGAAAUUGUUUAUGAUGUUGAAUUCUCUCCCCUUGUAAUUAUUAGCUUCUAGCCUUAUAUUUGAUGACUCACCUGAUCACUAUAAUUGAUCAUUUCAACUACGACACAGGUAAUUUUCGACACUCCCGUUUUACCUCUGAACAAGUUUAAUAAUUACUUCGAUAUUUAGAAUAUGCUCCUUAUGUCUGUUAUCAUUUCUUAAAACGACACAUAUUAUAAGACCCAACUAUUUGAUUGUUGUUUUGUUUAAUCAGAAUCAUUGGGGAAGAUUCGAUAGCAUGCUUCUUAUUUCGGUUGACCAUUUUCUAAAGUUGUUGAGCGACAUUGUGUUCAUAUAUAAUGUACCAGAUUAUUAGUACUAGACGUCUAGACAUUCUACCUUCAAUAUUUUUCGGAACAAAGCUUCAUCUUCUUUGGUUCCGUUUCAUGACAUAAAAGAAUUCACCAAACACAUUUUUUCUGGAGUUUUUGUCGAGUAUUGUAUAACUGAUGUUGCCCAGCCUAUUCUUCUAUGUUAAUAGCUAUCCAGUUAUAUCUAUUCUUUCAUUUGCACUUCGUGAAAGAUGUGUGGCCUACAAUAUUGUGAGUGUUACCUCUCCUUCAAGCUAACUUUUUUUUUUCAGAAAGUCUCCUUCAAGAUAUAUAGCCAUCAAUAUUUUACUACACCUUCCGUAGAGAAAGAAAGAUAGGGAUUGGACUGGUUCUUGUUACUUUUGUCAGAGAGAUAUGGGAGUAUGGGACACACAUGGAGAGAUGGAACAGCCGGGGGGCUAGGGUGCCGCUUCUUGAUCUGCAUAAGCUAAAUUUGCUGCCGAAGUUACUCUGGUAUCUAACUGACAUGUAAAGGAGUCAUGAACAGUUCAACCCAUACAAUGAGCAUUUAUUCCCAAUUAUUUGAGAAAGACUGUGGAGAUUGAUAUCAAGUACGGAGCAUGAAGGUUUCAUGGCAUGACUAAAGUCAAUUACAACAGGUAAUAUGUUCCCAAAAAAAAUUACAACAGGUAAUUUGCUUAUGGUCGUGCUAAUCGAGAAAAUUUCAUUUUCUUUGUCGAGGAACUUGUUUUUAGCUCUUUUGUAGCAGUAAUUGAUUCUUCAUUAUUCUGCAUUAUAAUAAAUAAUGUUGGGGUUAUAAGUUUUUUUCUUUCUUUUCUUAAGAAAAGAACCAGUUCCACUGACUUUGAUAGGUUCAGUUAUUUAAUUUGUCUUGCUUGCUACUUGAAAACCUGUCGACCACUAAUAGUGGUUUCCCUCUUCAGAUUAUAACCCAGGAACACAGGAAAUCCCUGGACUUUCCAAAACCAGGCAAAGCACCCCUUGUCGUUGAUUAUGGUGGUUUUCGCGAGCGGUUUUGCCUACGUGGCAAGUUUGCGGUAAGGAAAUUGGAUUUUGAUUGCCACGCUGGACCCUCCCGAUCUUAGCGUCGAACAGAGCCUGGGGGUAGGGGACGUCACGGCGGCUGGUUGACGAGUAGAUAUGACACCACCCAAUUACCUAUCUGUUCAGUUUCAUUUCCGAGGUGAAUUGCAUCAUGAUGGAAGUGAAUGGAAGGUCAGGAAUUUCCGCAAUUGAGUGUGACAAAUGUGACUUCAACAGUUGGAGAAACACCUUGCAGAUCAUGUUUCCUAUUCUGACGAAGUACUAAAUGGGACAACUUUGUACUAGAAGUUUCCUUUAAAGGGCAUAUGUGCUCUUGUUGUUAUGAAUGAUGAAGAAUCGAAACAAGAGUAGCUACAAGGAGAAAGGCCAAUCAAGCAAGAACAGAACAAGUUCCUGUUCCAUCAACACGACAAAGUUCAGCUCCUGGUCCAUCAACAAAGCAAGCACCUACAACAUCUAAGCCACCAAAUAGGAAGAAGAUGGCCUCAGCUUGUCAAAAUAAUACUUCCACUACACCUUUCUAUGAGAGAGCAAAGAACAGAAGGAAAGCACAUACACAAUCAUCUCAACCUCCUUCCGUGGCAUCUUCUUAUCAAUUAGCUUCAGGGUCGAUAUCUCAGCCAAUGCCAAACCAGUCAGGAUUCUCAUGGUUGUUAUAUGGCAAUAAAUGAACUUGUAGGUACUUACAGUGAAACAGAACUGAAGUUGUAGUUCAUGGUUGAUUGUUUUGCAUGCUCUGGUUCAUGCUUUAUUAUUAUGUAAAACUACUACGGGUAGCACUUGUUCCCUAUUAUGUGACACAUGCACUGUUCGAUGAUGUGGGUGUGAUAUGGGCAUGACUGGUUCUUAUGUGAUUUCCCUGUUGUGUUUAUAAAAAAAGUGUUCUUUCAAAUUUAA